CUACAUGAAGCUGGAAUCGCUAGUAAUCGCGGAUCAGAAUGCCGCGGUGAAUACGUUCCCGGGUCUUGUACACACCGCCCGUCACACCAUGAGAGUUGGGAAUACCCGAAGCCUGUGAGCUAACUUAUAGAGGCAGCAGUCGAAGGUAGAAUCAAUGAUUGGGGUGAAGUCGUAACAAGGUAGC
rnacentral:rRNA from 1 species